GCGGCGGCGGCCAUGGCGGGCGGGCGGCGGGCGCUGGCGGAGCCGGGGCGGCUGAUGGGCGCGGGGCUGGCGCUCAUCGUGCUGGGCCACGGCAGCCUGGUGCUGGGCGCCAUCGUGCACGGCUCGGUCCUGCGGCACGUCGCCGGCGCCCGCCUCGCCGUCACCCCCGAGUACGCGGUGGCCAACGUGGUGUCCGUGGGCUCCGGGCUGCUGAGCAUCGCCGUGGGUAUCGUCGCCAUCCUGGUGUCGCACAACCUGUCCCAGGCGGCCCUGCAUUGGACCCUGCUGAGCAUGUCCCUGUUGAACUGCCUCCUGUCCACAGUGUGCAGCGCAGGCCUGGUGCUGGCCAUUGCCCUCACCAUUCACAGCCGGGGCAUGCACCUCAUCAGGGGCUGCAACAGCUCUGCGCUGCCUGCUGAUGCGCGUGCAGCCAUAGUGACCAACGACUGUCCUUUCAACACCACGCGCAUCUAUGACACGGCCCUGGCGCUCUGGUUCCCCUCCAUGGUGCUGGCGGCCACAGAAGCUGUGCUGUCCGGCAGGUGCGGUUUGGUGGCCCUGAUCUUGCGGGGCAUUGGGCCCUGUGCACGCAGCUACGCCAAAGAGCAGGUAUGGCCAAUCAAGCUGGACAGGUCUCCCUGUCCCACUGUUGCUGCCUUUUUGAAGGUGCUGAGACCUCCUGGGCCCUUGUUCCCAUACAAGCAGGCUGUGCAGCAGUGGGAGGCAGGGCAUGUCAGGUCUGAACCUCUUCUAUCCAGCCUUGGUGACAGACUGGAAGACCUUCAUCUUGGCUGGCCCAGCCAAGUACAGUGAAGGAGGGGCCACCACAUGAGAUGCAGCAGCAACUGCUGGCCAGGCUGGCUGACUCCUGUGCCUAGCUGGAGAGGUGGUGCUGCAAUCCAACAAGGUGAAGUGGCACCUGCUCCAUGCUCCUGCCCGAGGUUUAGGUGUGGGUAGGGUGGGAUGCAGGGGGUAGGGGUGCACCCCCCGCAGCCCCCCACCCUGCAACAACCCUGCAGGUUCCAGGCACAAGUUACCCAGGGUCACCAGGCAAGUGCCAUAAGCCCCUGACACUCUCCUGGGGCUGGGGAGGCACACAAGCCCUUCCCAGCACACUAAAGGCUCCACUGGGUGUUCCACAUGCGGUGCUGGGGGGGGGAGGGCAGAGGUGCUGGGGCCUGGCAACAGGCAGGGCUGGCCUGGGGGCUGGCUGGUGGCCCUGCAGCAGAGCAGGCAGGUUCAGUUUGCUGUGCCUGUGCUCAGGCAGGGCAAGGAAUGAAAGGUGAAGAAUCCUUUUGUCAUGAGCCUCUGUUGUUUCUGAGUAAAUAAACUUUUCCUUUUCA